CACAAUCGUACGUAGCAAAACCCGAAAAACCCUGGCACCUACUUCCUCUCAAUUCCAACAAAAAAAAAGUUAAACAAGAAGAGCAGAAAUGGAUGUUAAUGGGUCAGCAAUGGAGGUUGAUGUUGUCAAUGUAAGUCCUUGUUUAACCAGCUUUGUUGAUGAUGGUACUGUUGAGAGUCACAGGUACUUCCUUGCACGCAAAACUAUGCUCGAAAUGCUCAAAGAUCGUGGUUUUGCAAUACCCAAUUCUGAAAUCGAAACCACCCUUCAAGAAUUCAGAGAGAAAUAUGGUCAAAGACCUGAUGUUGAGCGCCUCAGAAUCUCCGCCAUGCACAGAACUGACCUUACCAAUAAGGUUUUGGUCAUCUUCUGUGGGCCAAAUUCGGUGAAAAUGAAUGUCAUCCGCAAUAUUUUAUCUCAAAUAAUGAACAAAGAAUCCUUGAGUCGGCUGAUAUUAAUCAUUGAAAAUCCAAUGACUAAUCCAGCUAUGAAGGUUGUGGAGGACUCCCCAUUCAAAACUGAAAUUUUCCAGAUCACAGACUUGCUUGUCAACAUUACAAAACAUGUUUUAAAGCCAAAGCAUGAGUUGUUAACCAACGCUGAGAAGGAGCAGCUAUUGAAGAAGUAUAACUUGGAAGAGAAGCAGCUACCGCGGAUGUCUCAAAAGGAUGCAAUAGCUCGGUACUAUGGAUUGGAGAAAGGGCAAGUUGUGAAGGUCACAUACAACAAUGAGAUCAUUGAGACACAUGCUACUUAUCGCUGUGUCUGGUGAUGCGACUAUGUAAAUCCUAUGUAGCAGUGUUGUUCUGUCGUACGUUGAGCGAGUCUGCAGCAGCCUAAAUGAAGAACUUGUAGUAGUAAUAUGUUAAGUACAUUAUCAUUGUUGCUAUGUAUUUUGUUGUAUAUCCAGAUUGCCUUAACUUCAUACUUUUGGGCUAG
rnacentral:misc_RNA from 1 species